UACGGAGGGGGCUAGCGUUGUUCGGAAUUACUGGGCGUAAAGCGCACGUAGGCGGCUUUGUAAGUUAGAGGUGAAAGCCCAGGGCUCAACCCUGGAAUUGCCUUUAAGACUGCAUCGCUUGAACAUCGGAGAGGUAAGUGGAAUUCCGAGUGUAGAGGUGAAAUUCGUAGAUAUUCGGAAGAACACCAGUGGCGAAGGCGACUACCUGGCCUGUUCUUGACGCUGAGGCGCGAAAGCUAGGGGAGCAAACGGG
rnacentral:rRNA from 1 species